rnacentral:lncRNA from 1 species
CACAAAUUACAUUGGGAAGAAAAUUCUCCCAGCUUCCUUUGAAACCUUCCAGAGAAAGAGGUAAAAGCAUGGCUCUGCAGAAGGCUCCUAAGUGGUUCCCAGAGCUUGUGCUGAGCUGGGGACACAUGGCUCCAUCAUCUGUUUUCUACUGGAAAAAACAACAUUCCCAUUUGACGAUGGCAGAGCCAGGCACCCCUCACCCCCCAUCACUGCCUCUCCCCUCACUCACUGCCGCUUCUGUGUUCCCUUGGGAGUGGGGUGUCCAGCAUGUCCUGUUACAAAUAUCCAUGUUUUUUAGUUUGUUUGCUUUCAGAUGGGAUCUGGCAGUGUUGCCCAGGCUGGCCUGGAACCCCUGGGCUCCACAGAUUGCCUCCACCUCCUGAGUCACUGGGACUACAAGCAUGCACCACCACUCAGGUAUUGCUUUGUUUUCUAGAGCAUUCCAGUACAAUGACUGGGACCACGGGCCUCAGUCUGGGCUUAUGUCCCGGGGUGAGACGCAGCCAAGGUGGAGGAGCAGCCCUGUCUUUGCUCGAGCCCCACAUGGUGGUCUUCGGGUGACUGACCACUCUGCAAGACCAGCUGUGCAGUGCCUCUUCACCAGACACAUCAGUGAGGCAAGGACUCGCCUGCCUCCCCCUCUCCCUGCAGUCCACUAGGUUCAGAGACUGCUUUCUGGCUCCAGAACUGGGCCUGGGGUUCUGACACACGAUUUUACUUGUGUCACCUCUCUGGCUCCUUCCAGCUUGCCGUUUCAGCUCACAGGAGGUGUCCCCUCUUCCUGGCUGGCGUCCUUAGCAUGGUGCUGGUCACUGCUGGCUUCUGCUCUCAUUCCCAUUAGACCAUUCAGUGUGAGAGGCCAGUGGCGUGUCUGCAUGUUCAGU